rnacentral:rRNA from 1 species
UGAGCAAUCUGCCCUUCUCAUCGGAAUAAGCGUUGGAAACGACGUCUAAUGCCGAAUACGACCUCCUUUCGCAUGAUCGGAGGUGGAAAGCUCCGGCGGAGAAGGAUGAGCUCGCGGCCUAUCAGCUAGUUGGUGUGGGUAAUGGCCCACCAAGACGACGACGGGUAGCCGGCCUGAGAGGGUGACCGGCCACACUGGGACUGAGACACGGCCCAGACUCCUACGGGAGCAG